UAUUGGGCACAGUGAGGGAGCCAAGAGUGUUGACUUGUCUGGGUGUGGUUUAGUGAGGCCUGAUUGUCUUAUUUAAACUGAAUAUUGUAAUCAAGGGGAUCUUUCUCUAGCACAGAAAUACCUGAAAUUUGAGAGAUCCAAAUUACUCAAAGUACUCAGAGCUGCUGACAGCAUUAAUACCAGCGUAAUCACAUGUGCACUGGACUUGGACUAUCUAGAUAAUGAGUUUUUUGCAGUCUCAGGCCCUUCCUACCCUAGCCUAGUGGGCUGUGUCCUCUUCAGCUGUGUGCAGAGACUUACGGUUCCUGUUAGCUACUCACUGCCUGGGGAUGGCUGGUGCUUUCCCUUCUUCUUCCAAUUGCCCUGCACAUUUAUUAGGCAUCACACUUUCUGGGCAGAGGGGGUGGUUCAGACUGUGCAGGGCAGACAGUGUCUCUCCUAUAUUAACUUCAGUGAUCCUUCCUUCCAUCUGUCUGUCCUUCUGUCCUCCCCUAUGCUCUCUUCCCUCUUCCCUUUUGGGAUCCUUGCACAGUCACUCUCUCUUGGUGGGAGGAGUUUCCACCCUAGCUCAGAGCCGGCUGUCGCAUAGUGUUUGCCACAUGCAGCUCAUCAGCCUGGAGACCCUGUCCUCUCAACACCAAGACGUGAUCUGCAGGGAGCAAAGGGAGCAGACCCUGCUGUCACCCCUAAGAUGGAGAAAGACCCAAGCUGCCAAGGCUCAAACGUAUGAAAGCCGUAAAGCCUUCUGCUGCAGUUAAUGAAAUGUGGCUUGCCCCAAAUGUUGAGAACACCACCCAUCCGGAAUCUGAGCACUGCAGUCCUCCAGGAUUUGAGGACUGCCUUCCACUAGGUUUUGACCACUCCAUUACCCAGUAUUUGAUGGCUGUGCUCCUGCAGAAUUAAUUAUUGCAGUCCUCCAGGAUUUGAGGACUUGAAUCAUAGAAUCAUUUAGGUUGGAAAAGACCUUCAAGAUCAUUGAGUCCAACCAUCAACCAUGCCCUCUAAACCAUGUCCUGAAGUGCCUUGUCUAUGUGUUUUUUGAAUACCUCCAGGGAUGGUGACUCAACCACUUCCCUGGGCAGCCUGUUCCAAUGCCUGACAACCCUUUCAGCAAAGAAAUUUUUCGUAAUAUCCAGUCUAAACCUCCCCUGCCGCAACUUGAGGCCAUUUCCUCUCAUCCUAUCUCCAGCCACCUGACAGAAGAGACCAGCACCCACCUCACUACAACCUCCUUUCAGGUCUUCCAGGAAAACCCAUGAGGAGCCCCUUGGAAAGCAGACAUGGUAAUCAGCCCUGAGAAGAGUUCAGCCCCUGCUUCUCUUUGUCUCCACUAAGAGGUGUCACUGUGAAAAGAGGAGGACCUCAGGGAUUUCUGAAGGCUAGAUUAGGGCUCUGACUUCAGUUCCCAUCUCCUCUUGGGUGGUCCCUGCACCUGACUGGAUGGAUGAGGGAACAGCCUAACAACUCAGUGGACAUGGGUGGUUUGCUUAACACAUACAAUGUUAAUAAAACCACAGUUUUUAACUUGGCAGAUUUAAGCAUGAUUAUACUUCUGUUGUUUGCUUAGAGGAAUGUGCUGCUUAGGUGGUAAGUCAGUUCAAACUGUAUUAGGAGAUGGAAACUGUAGUGAAGAACACGCAGCAACUUUUAUUUAGGAACUGUUUUAGAAGGAAAAAAGAAAAGGGAACAAAACAGAACAUUGCUAGCAAUGGGUAUAGCCAUAUAUGUAAUUGCUAUUAAGGAAUGGCCUUGGUAAUCAGAUGUUGAAUUUUCUGCAAUGCCUGUGUUAAAUUUUAUCUUAAAUGGUGUGUAGUAAUUUUAAGAUGGCUUUAUCUUAGUUACAAGUGCUGUUUGUAUGUUUCCUGAAGUAUCUUUUCUUACAGAAUGUUGAAUAAAAGAGUUUUUUUGUUAUUACUAAAAUGGUGUUCCUGAAUGUCAUUAUGAGCUGGGAUUGUUUAUGUAAUCUGUUUUGCUGUUUAAAUAUAUCUUAAUACAUGUUCUUUCUGUAGAUAAAAAUCUAUGGCUUUGUAUUCUAACCCUGCUGUAGGCAAAGCCACAUUGUUGGUGUCUCUUCAGAGCAAACAGAUGAUUGUGAUUGCAAUCCUACUUCCUGACUGCCUUCCUUCAUGGGCAGAAACCCCAAACCCAACCCCUUUCUCAUCUUG